AUAAUAUUAAUUAUAGCAUUUUUGCAUCGAUGAAGAACGCAGCGAAAUGCGAUAAGUAAUAUGAAUUGCAGAUUUUCGUGAAUCAUCGAAUCUUUGAACGCACAUUGCGCCCUCUGGUAUUCCAGAGGGCAUGCCUGUUUGAGCGUCAUUU
rnacentral:rRNA from 1 species